rfam:Toxocara canis scaffold398, whole genome shotgun sequence.
GGGGCAGUAGCUCAGUGGCAGAGCUCCCGCCUCGUACGCGGGAUGACCUGGAUUCGAUUACCGGCCGCUUUC